rnacentral:rRNA from 1 species
UACGUAGGGGGCAAGCGUUGUCCGGAAUCAUUGGGCGUAAAGAGCGCGUAGGCGGUCCGGUAAGUCCGCUGUGAAAGUCAAGGGCUCAACCCUUGAAUGCCGGUGGAUACUGUCGGGCUAGAGUCCGGAAGAGGCGAGUGGAAUUCCGGGUGUAGCGGUGGAAUGCGUAGAUAUCAGGAGGAACACCGAUGGCGAAGGCAGCUCGCUGGGACGGUACUGACGCUGAGACGCGAAAGCGUGGGGAGCAAACAGG